UGGGAAAAUGUGAGGUUGGGAAAGAUUACAUUCAGUAUUAAUAUACAUAUAUUGAACCAUGGUGUUUUUUGUUUUUAAAAUCUGAAUGUAUCUUUUAAGGCAGAGGUCUCCAAACUUGGCAACUUUAAGACUUACGGACUUCAACUCUCAGAAUUGUCCAGCGACAAGUCUUAAAAUUGCUAAGUUUGGGGACACCUGCUUUAAGGUUUAGUGUAAUAAAAUGUGAUUAGCUGCUCACGACCUGAUUAAAAUUUUGAAACAAAUGGAAAAACAACCUUUUCAUUGUAAGAAUUUGAGUUUUUUAAGUUAAAUUGUUUCAGGAAAACAUGAGUUUGAUUUACUAAAUAAUAAUUAUGUGAAGUAUCAUUCAUUGUUUACAAUUUAUUAUACUGUUUUCUUUGUGAAUAAUGGUUAGAGCAUAAUUUGUUUUAAAGAUACAAGUAUUAGCUAUAUAGUAGAAUCACUCACUUGAAGCCCUUUAUCUGAUAGAAAAACUCUAGUUAAAAUUAAUUGUCUCAUUGAAACAUACCAACAAAAGGGAAAAUGUAAAAAUCACCUAAACUUUUUCUUUAAAAUUGUAAAGAGAUUUUUUUUCAGCCAUUUUAAAAUGAACAUUUAAUACAUUUUUAAUGUUGACUGUUAGUGGGAACUAUUUAGAUAUAUAAUUGGAUAUAAUUAUAAAGAAGCCACAUUUCCAACUCCAAAUUAGUAGUCUUAAAGAUAGACAGUUAACAGGGUAUCAUCCAGGUAUUUUCACUUAAACCAAUAUGGACUCCAAUAAAAACAACUAAUGGGAAAGAACCAAGAAAAGCAGUGUUGAGUUUACUUAUAACUUACGAUCUCAUUCAAUAUUUGACAAUUAUUUAUAAGCACGAGUCUACUUUAAAAAAAAAUCAAAAUAAUUAUCUCAUUGAUAUAGCUGCACCUUGGGCCAAAAUCUUGUAAUGUCUUUUAGCAGGUAUGUUUCUACUAAGCAUCUGUUUUGAUAGUCCCCAAAGACCUUUGAAUAAUGUUUCUUCUAUUGAAAUAUUGUUAGGCCUACUCUUAAAAGAUCAAUUUGAGGCGCUGAAGAGAAAAAAAAAUCCUACAAGACGCUUAUGCAGUCCAUUUCUAUUUUUUGUGUUUCAUAAUUCAACCAAUUGCCAAAAAAACAAACAAAAAAUCCACUAGUGUAUCUAGUGUUUUUAUUUGAUUUCUACAGCUGUCUCAGUAAAUUACUUUGCAUAUCUUACAAUUCAAAACAUAUAUUACUAUUAAUUUAAAAAAACAACAACAACAAUAAAAACAUUAAAAACAGUAGAGAACAUUUAAAGAUCUAAUUCAAAGUGUGUAAAAGAGCAAAAUACCUGGCCCAUUAACAAUAUAGCCUUUGGUGCAUGAAGCUGAGCAAGGUUUUUAGAUCUUUACAAAAAGUUAACAGAGUUGGAUCUGUUCUAAUCUCCAAAAGGAGGAUGUUCCAUAGAGUAGAGGACUCUGCAGAAAAAGUCUUCUAGUCCCCAUCAUACUGACAUUCUCUGGCUGUUGGGAUCUGCAGCAUGUUAGUUUGAUGGGUAGAAACUCUGGAAAAAAGGAGAACCGUCAGGUUCAGCUCAUAAUCAGUGAGUGACACAAAAGCUGGUACUUUGGCUUUCUCAUCUGGAUGACAGUGACCAGACAUCUUCUAAUCAACCUGGAAUUAUGGUUGAAUCUCUUUGAGUGUUUUUUUCCCCAGACAUCUUCUAGGAGUUUUACCACUUAGGAUAUAAUCCCUCAAUUGACUUCUCCCAGAUUUUCUGGUUUUCCCACAAUCAGGCCAUACUUUUCUUUUGAAAGCCACAAGCCAACAUCGUUAAUUUUGCCCAUUACUGCAGUGUAGAUCAGGCUGAGCAAUAAUUACUGAUUCAUGGUUACUCAACACAAAUUAUGGUAAUUAAAUAGAUUGUGGCAAGACCAUGUUUAAAGAAAGCACUGGUAGUUAUUUGAGAGGCAUGGGAAUAAGGUAGGAUGAUAUGGGGUUCAUGGUCCAACUUCAAUAGAAGAAAAAUAUUUCCUACGAUAUUGUAAAGAAAAAUGGAAUUUAUUGAAUCUUGUUUAUUGAAAAUAAAACCAAGAAUUUAUUUUAAGGGUAAAAUAGUAAACAAUUUAAGCAAUGGCUACAUUUUGUCUAUUUGAGGAUUAGCUUCUCUUACAUUAGAAUGUUAUGCGAUAUAGAGAACUGAGAGUUAACUUAGAGGGAAAAUCAUUAAGCUUCUAAUUUUGCAAAGUAUCUUUAAAAAUGAA